rnacentral:rRNA from 1 species
UACGGAGGGGGUUAGCGUUGUUCGGAAUGACUGGGCGUAAAGCGCGCGUAGGCGGAUCAGGAAGUUGGGGGUGAAAUCCCGGGGCUCAACCCCGGAAUGGCCUUCAAAAACUCCUGGUCUUGAGUUCGAGAGAGGUGAGUGGAAUUCCGAGUGUAGAGGUGAAAUUCGUAGAUAUUCGGAGGAACACCAGUGGCGAAGGCGGCUCACUGGCUCGACACUGACGCUGAGGUGCGAAAGCGUGGGGAGCAAACCGGA